GAACGGGAAUUGAACUCUAUGAGAUCUAAUCUCCCGCUGUUCCUCAGUAGCUCAGUGGUAGAGCGGUCGGCU
rnacentral:tRNA from 1 species